GGGAGGUAGUGACAAUAAAAUAACAAUACAGGGUUCUUUUUGGAUCUUGUAAUUGGAAUGAGUACAAUUUAAAAUCUCUUAACGAGGAACAAUUGGAGGGCAAGUCUGGUGCCAGCAGCCGCGGUAAUUCCAGCUCCAAUAGCGUAUAUUAAAAGUUGUUGCAGUUAAAAAAGCUCGUAGUUGAAUUUCGGGAUCAAUGUUUCGGUCAUGCCGUUGGUAUGUACUGAUAUUAUUGGUUUCUCACCUUCUAAAGAACCGUAAUGCCAUUAAUUUGGUGUCACGGGGGAAUUAGGACUGUUACCUUGAAAAAAA
rnacentral:rRNA from 1 species